rnacentral:lncRNA from 1 species
GAGGAAUAAACUACAGGGGCGAAAGCUUGGAUUUAGAAACAAGAACUUGUUGAUUUGGGUGAGAAUUGAGAAAGUUAGGGGAUUUUUGGUGUGGGUGAGUUUGAGAGAGUAUGAGUGUUUAUGAGAGGAGGAGAGGGUGAGGAAGAUGAAAUCGUGGGUGUUGGGUAGGUUUAGGGGCGUCCGGUUUGGUUUAGGUAGAUUGGGGAUUGGUUUAUUUUAAUUAAACCGG